rnacentral:rRNA from 1 species
GACGAACGCUGGCGGCGUGCUUAACACAUGCAAGUCGAACGGAAAGGCCCUGCUUUUGUGGGGUUCCCGAGUGGCGAACGGGUGAGUAACACGUGAGUAACCUGCCCUUGACUUUGGGAUAACUUCAGGAAACUGGGGCUAAUACCGGAUAGGAGCUCCUGCUGCAUGGUGGGGGUUGGAACGUUUCGGCGGUUGGGGAUGGACUCGCGGCUUAUCAGCUUGUUGGUGGGGUAGUGGUUUACCAAGGCUGUGACGGGUCGCCGGCCUGGGAGGGUGACCGGCGACAUUGCGACUGAGAGACGGACCAGUGGCGUACGGGAGACAGCAGUGGGAAAUAUUGUACAAUGGGCGGAAGCCGGUGAAGACAGCGCCGGGGUUGGAAUGACGGCCUGCGGGGUGUGAACCGCUUUCGGCUGAGACGAAGCGGGUGUGACGGUAAUGAGUGAAGAAGCACCGGCUAACUUCGUG